rnacentral:pre_miRNA from 3 species
UCUUCUGAGUGAGCAAAGAAAGUGGUUUCUUGAAAUGGAAGCUACUCCUGAUGAAAAUGCGGUAAA